UUAAAAGCAAUGAAGAGCAAGAUUAGACAAUUAUUUCUUUCAGAGAAUUCGUGGUUGGUGUAAACGAAUAAAAAUGAUUAUCGAAAGUAGGCUCAGAGCUAUGAAUGCGAAUUUUGAGUGUUCAUUGGGUGCCCCCAUUAUCAAGGCCAGCGAAUCCGACUAUUGUCGUGCUCGCUAAGGUUGCACUCGUUGCAACAUCUCAAGGUGGUACCGUGCAUUGCUUUUGCGCCCUUCGA
rnacentral:ncRNA from 1 species